UAAAACCAGAAUCAUAUAUUGCAAUGUUAGAAUAUGCACGAAAGAUAUACAAUAAUGGAAAUUUAAAAGUGCCCAAUCCUUCUGAAUUGAGAUCAGAAAUUUUGAAACUAUCUACAAAAAGAAAUUUAUUGGAAGAAAGUGUAUCGCUACAAGAACGUCAAUUUAUAUAAGUCAUACACCAAUUUGCAGAAUUAGAAGUGAUUAAAAUCUUGAAACAAGAUGCUUGUUCAAAAUUUGAACAAAGGAAAGUUAGAUUAGAGAAAGUUAAAAACUUGCAGUUCCUUAUACGGGAAUGUGGUCAUGUAAAUGCUGACUUGUUAUUUAUACUAAUGCAGAGACAGUGGUACUGUCUUAUAGAUGUAUCAGAAAUUGUGGCUGAUACAUAUCACUAUAUGACCUUGGAAUAUUCAUUAGCUUCCACACGAUGUGAAAGUAUGCAACAACAACAGGAAGAGUUUGUGUUAUCUUGCCCAGAUACCCACAAUGCAUUCAUCAAGCUUUUAGUUUCUAUUUUGUGUAAUGGUGAUAACACACAGCAAUUAAAUUCCACGUUAAAUAAGUACAAUGAACUCAUAAAUGAAAACAAAGUUAAAAAGCAAUUCAUAUUGGAAACAGACAUAUAUUCCAAAAUUGAUGAACUAGAAAUGUUGUAAGUAUUAUAUUUUUAACAGUUAUACAAGUGAAAUUCAAAAGGGAGCAACAUACAGUUUCAAACCAAUUUCGUAUGAAAUUGAAACUUAUUACAAGGAAGCUUGUGAUCAUUUACAAAAUAUACAAACAGAUUUAACUAAAGUAAUAAGUCAAAUGAAAGAACAAAUGUGGAUCCAAUUACACUAAAACAAAAACAUAAAGAAGGCAUGCAAAUAACAAAUAAAUCAUGUUUUCGAAGUACAUUUGAAGUUGAAUAAAUACGAUUUUUAUGAGUGAGCAAAACAGUCUAAGCUAACCACACAUAAAUAAGGGGAAGCAUGAUGCAUGGGUUAAUUGCAUAGUACUGGAGUAUCGAGAAGCGUAAUACAUAAAUAAACUGUUCGGUUAUGGACAAAUACAUGCACAGUUAGAAAACCUCCUACAUACUAUUAAAUACUUGUCAAAAGUGGAGGAGUAUUGUAUAUAUUAUUGGCGAGCUGAUACGUAUUCAAUAUCUAGCUAUCUGUACAUACUUACAGUUAUUACUUGUAUUCUUCUCUGUUAAAUAUUUUGAAUUCUUUCCAAAUAUAUUCUAUAAUUUUGUUAAAAAAAACAA